AUUGAACGCUGGCGGCAUGCCUUACACAUGCAAGUCGAACGGCAGCAUGAUCUAGCUUGCUAGAUUGAUGGCGAGUGGCGAACGGGUGAGUAAUACAUCGGAACGUGCCCUGUAGUGGGGGAUAACUAGUCGAAAGAUUAGCUAAUACCGCAUACGACCUGAGGGUGAAAGUGGGGGACCGCAAGGCCUCAUGCUAUAGGAGCGGCCGAUGUCUGAUUAGCUAGUUGGUGGGGUAAAGGCCCACCAAGGCGACGAUCAGUAGCUGGUCUGAGAGGACGAUCAGCCACACUGGGACUGAGACACGGCCCAGACUCCUACGGGAGGCAGCAGUGGGGAAUUUUGGACAAUGGGCGAAAGCCUGAUCCAGCAAUGCCGCGUGUGUGAAGAAGGCCUUCGGGUUGUAAAGCACUUUUGUCCGGAAAGAAAUGGCUCUGGUUAAUACCUGGGGUCGAUGACGGUACCGGAAGAAUAAGGACCGGCUAA
rnacentral:rRNA from 1 species